rfam:Beauveria bassiana ARSEF 2860 unplaced genomic scaffold BBA_S00003, whole genome shotgun sequence.
GCCCCCAUGGUCUAGUUGGUUAGGGCGCCGGUCUCAUAUCGAUAGAUAUGACUCGUUCAUAGAUCGAGACAUCCGGAUAUCGUGAGUUCGAUCCUCACUGGAGGCA